CAGCAGUGCACGAAACGGCCAGACGCCUAAAAGCACAUCUGUGGCUAUUUGCAGGCCUUCGCGACCGAGGUCGCAGAGUUUUCUACCACAACAAGCAAGCGGACACGUCGCUCGAAGAUGAGGCUCUCUUCUGAACGGGCUUCCAAGCACACCAGACCGACGGACCACUCCACUUAUACUGAUCAAGAAUAUGACACCACUUGAAUACGCGCUAUGAAACGGCGCUUGUAACUCUUAAGAAGUUACAUACCUUUUGUAUAUAUCAUUUCAGAUUUGAUCUAUCCAAAGACUUUCGGAAAUAAACGCCUACGGGCCGGCCAGAGCG